UACGGGGGGAGCAAGCGUUGUUCGGAUUUACUGGGCGUAAAGGGCGCGUAGGCGGUCAGCACAAGUCAGUUGUGAAAUCUCCGGGCUUAACCCGGAAAGGUCAACUGAUACUGUGCGACUAGAGUGCGGAAGGGGCAACUGGAAUUCUCGGUGUAGCGGUGAAAUGCGUAGAUAUCGAGAGGAACACCUGCGGCGAAGGCGGGUUGCUGGGCCGACACUGACGCUGAUGCGCGAAAGCGUGGGGAGCGAACAGG
rnacentral:rRNA from 1 species